CUACGGGGUGCACCAGUGGGGAAUAUUGCACAAUGGGCGCAAGCCUGAUGCAGCCAUGCCGCGUGUAUGAAGAAGGCCUUCGGGUUGUAAAGUACUUUCAGCGGGGAGGAAGGGAGUAAAGUUAAUACCUUUGCUCAUUGACGUUACCCGCAGAAGAAGCACCGGCUAAGUCCGUGCCAGCAGCCGCGGUAAUACGGAGGGUGCAAGCGUUAAUCGGAAUUACUGGGCGUAAAGCGCACGCAGGCGGUUUGUUAAGUCAGAUGUGAAAUCCCCGGGCUCAACCUGGGAACUGCAUCUGAUACUGGCAAGCUUGAGUCUCGUAGAGGGGGGUAGAAUUCCAGGUGUAGCGGUGAAAUGCGUAGAGAUCUGGAGGAAUACCGGUGGCGAAGGCGGCCCCCUGGACGAAGACUGACGCUCAGGUGCGAAAGCGUGGGGAGCAAACAGGAUUAGAUACCCGCGUAGUC
rnacentral:rRNA from 1 species